UUUCCGUAGGUGAACCUGCGGAAGGAUCAUUAUUGUAUAACCGAGGUGCGAGGGCUGUCGCUGACCCGAAAGGUCGUGCACGCCCGAGGGCCCUCACACACAUCCAUCUCACCCCUAUGUGCACCACCGCGUGGGUCCCCCUUUGGCUGGUUCGGAGGGGGGCUUACGUUGUCACACAAACUUUGUAUGCAGUGUAGAAUGUAUUUUUUGUUUUUGCGAUCACGCAAUCAAUACAACUUUCAACAACGGAUCUCUUGGCUCUC
rnacentral:misc_RNA from 1 species